CCCUUAGACGUUCUGGGCCGCACGCGCGCUACACUGACCAGUGCAACAAGCAUCCGUCCUUGGCCGACAGGCUCGGGCAAUCUUUGAACGCUGGUCGUGAUGGGGAUAGACUUUUGCAAUUUUUGGUCUUCAACGAGGAAUUCCUAGUAAACGCAAGUCAUCAACUUGCAUUGAUUACGUCCCUGCCCUUUGUACACACCGCCCGUCGCACCUACCGAUUGAAUGGUCCGGUGAAUAAUUCGGACUGCAGCAGUGUUCAGUUCCUGAACGUUGCAGCGGAAAGUUUAGUGAACCUUAUCACUUAGAGGAAGGAGAAGUCGUAACA
rnacentral:rRNA from 1 species